CAGCCGCCGCGGUAAAACGUAGGUGGCAAGCGUUGUCCGGAAUUAUUGGGCGUAAAGGGCUCGCAGGCGGUUUCUUAAGUCUGAUGCGAAAGCCCCCGGCUCAACCGGGGAGGGUCAUUGGAAACUGGGAAACUUGAGUGCAGAAGAGGAGAGUGGAAUUCCACGUGUAGCGGUGAAAUGCGUAGAGAUGUGGAGGAACACCAGUGGCGAAGGCGACUCUCUGGUCUGUAACUGACGCUGAGGAGCGAAAGCGUGGGGAGCGAACAGGAUUAGAUACCCGCGUAGUCCCUGUCUCUUAUAC
rnacentral:rRNA from 1 species